rnacentral:rRNA from 1 species
UACAUUCAAUAAGCGGAGGAAAAGAAACCAACAGGGAUUGCCUCAGUAACGGCGAGUGAAGCGGCAAAAGCUCAAAUUUGAAAUCUGGCCCUUUCAGGGUCCGAGUUGUAAUUUGUAGAAGACGCUUUGGGUGUGGCUCCGGUUUAAGUUCUUUGGAAUAUUACAUCAUAGAGGGUGAGAAUCCCGUAUGUGACCGGUCGCCGCGCCCGUGUAAAGCUCUUUCAACGAGUCGAGUUGUUUGGGAAUGCAGCUCAAAAUGGGAGGUAUAUUUCUUCUAAAGCUAAAUAUUGGCCAGAGACCGAUAGCGCACAAGUAGAGUGAUCGAAAGAUGAAAAGCACUUUGGAAAGAGAGUUAAACAGUACGUGAAAUUGUUGAAAGGGAAGCGCUUGCAACCAGACUUGCACGCAGUUGAUCAUCCGGUGUUCUCACCGGGGCACUCUGCUGCGUUCAGGCCAGCAUCGGUUCUGGUGGUUGGAUAAAGACCUUGGGAAUGUGGCUUCUUUCGGGGAGUGUUAUAGCCCUCGGUGCAAUGCAGCCUACCGGGACCGAGGACCGCGCUUCGGCUAGGAUGCUGGCGUAAUGGUUGUAAGCGGCCCGUCUUGAAACACGGACCAAGGAGUCUAACAUCUAUGCGAGUGUUUGGGUGUCAAACCCAUACGCGUAAUGAAAGUGAACGGAGGUGAGAACCCUUAAGGGUGCAUCAUCGACCGGUCCUGAUGUCUUCGGAUGGAUCUGAGUAAGAGCAUAGCUGUUGGGACCCGAAAGAUGGUGAACUAUGCGUGAAUAGGGUGAAGCCAGAGGAAACUCUGGUGGAGGCUCGCAGCGGUUCUGACGUGCAAAUCGAUCGUCAAAUUUGCGCAUAGGGGCGAAAGACUUAUCGAACCAUCCG